CACGUAGGGCGCAAGCGUUGUCCGGAAUUAUUGGGCGUAAAGAGCUCGUAGGCGGUCUGUUGCGUCCGCUGUGAAAACUCGGGGCUUAACCCCGAGCCUGCAGUGGAUACGGGCAGACUAGAGGUAGGUAGGGGAGACUGGAAUUCCUGGUGUAGCGGUGAAAUGCGCAGAUAUCCGAAGGAACACCGGUGGCGAAGGCGGCUCCUGGACCGACACUGACGCUGAGGCGCGAAAGCUAGGGGAGCAAACGGG
rnacentral:rRNA from 1 species